GCUUAGAUAGUUCAAUGGUUAGAACAAUUACCUCAUAUGUAAUUAAUAUAGGUUCAAUUCCUAUUUUAAGCU
rnacentral:tRNA from 1 species